CCCUUAGAUGUCCUGGGCCGCACGCGCGUUACACUGAUGCAUUCAACGAGCCUAUAACCUUGGCCGAGAGGCCUGGGCAAUCUUGUUAACGUGCAUCGUGAUAGGGAUAGAUUAUUGAAAUUAUUAAUCUUGAACGAGGAAUUCCUAGUAAACGCAGAUCAUCAAUCUGCAUUGAUUACGUCCCUGCCCUUUGUACACACCGCCCGUCGCACCUACCGAUUGGACGGUCCGGUGAAGCCUCGGGAUUGUGGUUCUUGCCGCUUUAUUGUGGCGUGACCGCGAGAACUUGUCUAAACCUUAUCAUCUAGAGGAAGGUGAAGUCGUAACA
rnacentral:rRNA from 1 species